rnacentral:rRNA from 1 species
UAGGGAAUCUUCCGCAAUGGACGAAAGUCUGACGGAGCAACGCCGCGUGAGUGAAGAAGGAUUUCGGUUCGUAAAACUCUGUUGUUAGGGAAGAAAAAAUGUAUAGUAACUAUAUACAAAAGAGACGGUACCUAACCAGAAAGCCACGGCUAACUACGUGCCAGCAGCCGCGGUAAUACGUAGGUGGCAAGCGUUGUCCGGAAUUAUUGGGCGUAAUGCGCGCGCAGGUGGUUUAGAAAGUCUGAUGUGAAAGCCCACGGCUCAACCGUGGGGGAUCAUUGGAAGAUAAUAAACAUGAGUGCAGGGGAGGAAAGUGGAGUUCCUAGUGUAGCGGUGAAAUGCGUAGAGAUUAGGAGGAACACCGGUGGCGAAAGCGGCUUUUUGGCCUGCAACUAACACUGAGGCGCGAAAGCGUGGGGAGCAAACAGG